AUUGUGUGAUGCGGUACAUGAAAGAGAUAGUCUUGGAUGAAGAUUCACAAUUGGAGAGAAAGUUUGCAGCAUCAAAAAAUAAACAGUAUUACAAUCAAUCUCAGUAUGAUGAAGUCAGAAGUGAAUGGAGUGAAUUCGUCUAUUUCUAUGUGGGUGCCUAAGUGUAGGCUAUGAUAUAAAUUGUAGACAUGUAUUUAGAGAUUUAUGUACAAAAGUUUUUGGGUUA